GACGAACGCUGGCGGCGCGCCUAACACAUGCAAGUCGAACGAGCGAGAGAGAGUUUGCUUUCUCGAGCGAGUGGCGAACGGGUGAGUAACGCGUGAGGAACCUGCCUCAAAGAGGGGGACAACAGUUGGAAACGACUGCUAAUACCGCAUAAAUGUUUCCGGUCCGCAUGGACUGGAAACCAAAGCUUUAUGUGCUGAAAGAUGGCCUCGCGUCUGAUUAGAUAGUUGGUGAGGUAACGGCUCACCAAGUCGACGAUCAGUAGCCGACCUGAGAGGGUGACCGGCCACAUUGGGACUGAGACACGGCCCAA
rnacentral:rRNA from 1 species